AGAGUUUGAUCCUGGCUCAGAACGAACGCUGGCGGCAGGCCUAAUACAUGCAAGUCGAGCGCAUCCUUCGGGAUGAGCGGCGGACGGGUGAGUAACGCGUGGGAAUAUGCCCUUCUCUAAGGAAUAGCCUCGGGAAACUGAGAGUAAUACCUUAUACGCCCUUCGGGGGAAAGAUUUAUCGGAGAAGGAUUAGCCCGCGUUAGAUUAGGUAGUUGGUGGGGUAAUGGCCUACCAAGCCUACGAUCUAUAGCUGGUUUGAGAGGAUGAUCAGCCACACUGGGACUGAGACACGGCCCAGACUCCUACGGGAGGCAGCAGUAGGGAAUCUUAGACAAUGGGGGAAACCCUGAUCUAGCCAUGCCGCGUGUGUGAUGAAGGCCUUAGGGUCGUAAAGCACUUUCGCCAGAGAUGAUAAUGACAGUAUCUGGUAAAGAAACCCCGGCUAACUCCGUGCCAGCAGCCGCGGUAAUACGGAGGGGGUUAGCGUUGUUCGGAAUUACGGGGCGUAAAGCGCACGUAGGCGGAUUAGUAAGUUAGAGGUGAAAUCCCAGGGCUCAACCCUGGAACUGCCUUUAAUACUGCUAGUCUUGAGUUCGAGAGAGGUAAGUGGAAUUCCGAGUGUAGAGGUGAAAUUCGUAGAUAUUCGGAGGAACACCAGUGGCGAAGGCGGCUUACUGGCUCGAUACUGGCGCUGAGGUGCGAAAGUGUGGGGAGCAAACAGGAUUAGAUACCCUGGUAGUCCACACCGUAAACGAUGAAUGCCAGACGUC
rnacentral:rRNA from 1 species